AUUAGGUCUAGGUAACCUCUGAUAUCUUUAUCUAUAGUCUUUUGUCUUUUCCCUCUUGGCCCAGAGCUCAUUUUAUUGAAAUGGACGUAAAUGUGUUUUCAAUUUUAUUAGAAACUGAAAUGACAAUAUUUCACUUAUUUUUGUUUAUUCUCACAUCUUAACUUUAGUGGAUUUAUGCAUACUAAUGGUUUAAAUUACAGUGCUGCUUAUUUUUUAUUCGGUG
rnacentral:misc_RNA from 1 species